rnacentral:rRNA from 1 species
CCGCAUGGUUCGAAAUUGAAAGAUGGUUUCGGCUAUCACUUACAGAUGGACCCGCGGCGCAUUAGCUAGUUGGUGAGGUAACGGCUCACCAAGGCAACGAUGCGUAGCCGACCUGAGAGGGUGAUCGGCCACACUGGGACUGAGACACGGCCCAGACUCCUACGGGAGGCAGCAGUAGGGAAUCUUCCGCAAUGGACGAAAGUCUGACGGAGCAACGCCGCGUGAACGAUGAAGGCCUUCGGGUCGUAAAGUUCUGUUGUUAGGGAAGAACAAGUACCAGAGUAACUGCUGGUACCUUGACGGUACCUAACCAGAAAGCCACGGCUAACUACGUGCCAGCAGCCGCGGUAAUACGUAGGUGGCAAGCG